AAGCUAGAGGGUAUAAAACAUUAAUCACUCUCAGCUUUCUAAGUAAGAAACAAUGUUGCACUUCCUUAAACCUUUUGUGAGUAAAUCAGCAUGUUGAUCUUUGGUCCUGAUAUGAUAUACUGCUAUUUUCCCUUCCCUAAUCUCGUCUCGCACAAAGUGGCAAUCGAUCUAUAUAUGUUUUGUGCUCUUGUGGAUUAUAUGACUGACUGCAAUCUGCAAUGCAGCCUUGCUGUCACAGAAUAAAUCUACAGGUUGCUCGAUGGACACCUUUAAUUCUGAGAACAGUCCUAACAACCAAGUUAUUUCUACUAUAGACGUUGUUAAACUCUUGUAUUAUACUUCUGCAUGGCUUCUUGAAACUGUAUGUUGUUUCUUCAAUUUACAGGAUAUUAGGGACUCCCCAAAUUUACUAAGAACCCAGCCACUGAUCUCCUUGUGUUUCGGUAUGCUGCCCAGUUUGCAUCAGAAUCGCAGGUUAAAGUAUCUGACUGCAAACUGCUCACAAGUAUUCCCAUUUCUUGAUCUUUCUUGAUGUACUUUAUCACUCUAACUGUUUCAUCCCGGUGAGAUAUUUUGGGUGCUUGCAUUAAUUGGCCUAGAGUCUGUACAACAUAGCUAAUAUCUGGUCUGGUCAUUUUUAGGUAAAGCAAUCUCCCAAUGAUCCUUUGAUAGGCUGAUGUAUCAGCUAGUGCCUCAUCUCCUGUUGCACUAGUAUGUUGAUCAUUCUCUUGUAGAUCGAAUCUCUAAUUCAAAUCAAUAGGUGUUGUUGCUGGCUUAAUUCCUCCUAAUCCCAGAUCUAACACCAAUUGCAAUCCAUACUUUCUUUGAUUCAACAAGAUUCCCUUGAUUGAUCUCAUGAUCUUUAUUCCCAGAAAGUACCUUAAUUCUCCAAGGCGUUUCACUUUGAACUUAAGAUGUAGUACAUCUUGUGUCUCCUGUAUGAGACUUUUAUCAUUCCUGUAAUUAACAAAUCAUCCACAUGUAUCAAGACUGCCACAAAGCUAUCUCCCCUACUUUUAGUAAACAUAGAAUAGUCAUACAAGCUCUGCUUGUAGUCUGAUUCUAUUAAUUUCUCAGUAAGUUUUAUAUUCCAUCUCCUUGAGGCUUGUUUAAGGCCGUACAAUGGUUUCUUCAAUCUACAAACCUUUGACUCCCCAUGUCUUAUGAAUCCCUGAGGAAGCUCCAUGUACACCUUUUCAUAUAGAUCUUCUUGCAAAAAUACAUUGUAGGCAUCCAGUUGAUACAAGUUCCAACCUCUUAUCAAUGCAAUCAAUAUUCUAACUCUCACCAAUUUGGAAACUGGUGAAAAAGUCUCAUGAUAAUCCAAUCCUUGCUUUUCGUUAUACUCUUUUGCGGCCAAUCUAGCCUUCUAUCUUUCCACAUCUCCAUUUGACUUGUAUUUUAUCUUGUAGACCCAUUUAGAUCCAAUUUCAUUCUUGCCUUUGGUAGGUCUACUAUCUCCAAUGUAUUAUUGUCUUCCAAUGCCUUAAUUUCCAUUUCCAUUGCAUCAAUCCAAUUUUUAUCCUAAGAUGCUUCCUUGAAGCCUUGAGGUUAUAUGAUGUCUGAUUACUUGGCCAAGUAUCUCAUUUAUCUUUCUCACAUAUGGUAAUAACAGAUGCAGGCUGCUAAAGUAUGUGUGUUUCUCCAUUUGCCUUCCUACUAGUCAUAAAAUCUUGAAGCCACAAUGGUGUUCUAGCAGUCCUUGCUGACUUUCUCAAGAUUUGUGUUGUGUGCUCAGUGUCAAUAAUGCCUUCAAAAAUGUUUUCAUUUGUGUCUAUAAGUGUAGGAGCAGGUGCAGCUUCACCUUCAGUCGAUGCAUGAGUAUCAUCGGCUUCAUCUUCAUUCAUUGCAUGAGUAUCCUUAGUUGGUUCUAAAUUAUUGUUGACAAAAUCAUCUACUGGUUCAUUAUGAGUAGUAUUAGCUUCACCAUCAACAUGAUGUGUAUGGUCAACAGAUCCAUCAGGGAUAAUGCUAACACUCUCAGAUCCUUCAUGAGAUACUUCAUAGCCCACUGCUUCAUGAUCUUGCAAUCUCCCCAUGUCAUGAGCUGUGGAGGAGUAACCAAUAGAUGAGGGAUAGGAGAACUUGGCAGCCUGUUGAUAAGGAAAUAUAUACUCCUUGAAUACUACAUAUUGACUAACAAAAAAUUUCUUAGUCUCAAUAUUUAACCAUUUGUAACCCUUUUGAGUGGCUGAAUAACCCAAGAAUACAACAACUUUGGCUCUAGCUAUAAACUUGUAUUCUUUGGGCAGAUUCACGGCAUAACAUAAACAUUCAAAAACCUUCAGAUGUCCAAGAACAGGUGGUCGGGCAUAUAGAACCUCAAAAGGACUCUUCUUAUUUAAAACAUCAGCUGGCAAUCUGUUGAUGAGAUACUCAGUUGUAUCUAUGCAGUCUCCCUAGAAUUUGGUUGGAAUGGUUCCUUGGAACUUCAGUGCCCUUGCUACAUCAAGAAUAAGCCUAUGUUUGUGCUCCAUAACUCCACAUUGUUAUGGAGUACAGACAUAACUACUUUGAUGUAAAUUCCAUAUGAUUCUAGUAAACUAAUGCAUGGGUGAUUAAAAAUUCAGUACCAUUGUCUGCAUGGAUGAUAUUUGUAAUUGCAUUAAACUGAGUUCUUAUCAUAGCAAGAAAUUCUUUCAGUAAAACGAACACAUCACUCUUAAACUGUGACAAAUAUAUCCAAGUGAAUCUAGACAUAUCAUCAACUAUUGUUAGAAAGAACCGGUUCUUGUCAUGAGUAGGAAUUUUAUUGGGACCCUAGAUAUCCAUGUGAAGAAGCUCUGACAAAGACUGACUCCUAGAUUGAUUAUUAGGAAAAGAUAAUCUGCUUUGUUUGGCAAGAGGGAAAAUAGAAUAAUCACUAUUUACAUUGACAUCACUCAAUUUAUUUUUCAAAGAUUUUACAUUCUUCAUGGUGCUUAUUAAAGCAUGCCCAAGCCUCAUAUGACCAUAAUAUUUUAUCCUAUUUAUGUUGUGAUACAACUACAUUCAUCACAAUUGCACUUCUUAUUUGAAUCUUCUAUGUAUAGUCCUUCAUUUUAUCUAUCAGUCGUUUUACCCUGCCACUGUAAAGGUUCUGAAAACGUAGAAAUUAGGAAAGAAAGUGACAGAGAAAGAGAGCUACUUUGUUAGUUUUGAAACUGAUAACAGGUUGAACUUGAAGUCUGGAAGAUAAAUUACAUUGUAUACUCUCAUAUUUUCUAGGAAUGUUACUAUUCCUUUGUGUGUUAUAGUGGACUUUCCUCCAUAAGGUAGGUUAACAUGUUCUUUAUUACAUGAUCUCAACUUAGUUUUACUAUAUGAUGUAUCUAGGCUAGCAGUAAUAUGAUGCGAAGCCCCUGAAUCGAUUAUAUAUUCCUCAUAAUCUUAGUCUGCCAUAAAAGACAUCAUUAUACCUGCCAUGUUCACCUAUGACUCGGUAUUUCCUUUGUUCAGCAUAGUGAGAAAUGUAUGUCACUUGUAUGCCCAAAGCUUGAUUCAUCAUCCACUGAU
rnacentral:lncRNA from 1 species